rnacentral:rRNA from 1 species
CGCCUGCCUAGUGACUUACACUUUAAACGGCCGCGGUAUCCUAACCGUGCAAAGGUAGCAUAAUCACUUGUCCUCUAAAUAAGGACUAGAAUGAACGGCUAAAUGAAGACCCAACUGUCUCUUGCAGCCUACCAAUGAAACUGAUCUCUUAGUCCAAAAGCUAAGAUUUCUUCACAAGACGAGAAGACCCUGUGGAGCUAUUAAACCAAACUCACAAAAAUGACCCCUUGGUUUUCAGUUGGGGCGACUUCGGAGCAUAAAAAACCCUCCGACACAAACCAAUAAACCUAGAUGGACACAUCAGCACUCCAAGACCCAGUAGCCUGUUUUCAAACUACCUGAUCAAUGAACCAAGUUACCCCAGGGAUAACAGCGCCAUCCUCUCUUAGAGUCCAUAUCGACGAGAGGGCUUACGACCUCGAUGUUGGAUCAGGACACCCCAAUAGUGCAACCGCUAUUAAUGGUUCGUUUGUUCAACGAUUAAUAGUCCUACGUGA